GGCUCAGAACGAACGCUGGCGGCGUGCUUAACACAUGCAAGUCGAACGCGAAAGGGACUUCGGUCCUGAGUAAAGUGGCGCACGGGUGAGUAACGCGUAGAUAACCUGUCUUUAUGUCUGGAAUAAUACGCCGAAAGGGGUACUAAUACCGGAUAUUUUUGCAUUGCAUAAGCAGUGUAAGCAAAGGUGGCCUCUGACAUAAGCUACUGCAUAAAGAGGGGUCUGCGUACCAUUAGCUAGUAGGUGGGGUAAAGGCCUACCUAGGCUACGAUGGUUAGCGGGUCUGAGAGGAUGAUCCGCCACACUGGCACUGGAACACGGGCCAGACUCCUACGGGAGGCAGCAGUGAGGAAUAUUGCGCAAUGGGGGCAACCCUGACGCAGCGACGCCGCGUGAGUGAAGGAAGGCCUUCGGGUCGUAAAGCUCUGUCAAAGGGAAAGAAGUGCAUGGUGGUUAAUACCUGCCAUGUUUGACGGUACCCUUAAAGGAAGCACCGGCUAACUCCGUGCCAGCAGCAGC
rnacentral:rRNA from 1 species